rnacentral:rRNA from 1 species
GAUGAACGCUGGCGGCGUGCCUAAUACAUGCAAGUCGAGCGAACGGACGAGAAGCUUGCUUCUCUGAUGUUGGCGGCGGACGGGUGAGUAACACGUGGAUAACCUACCUAUAAGACUGGGAUAACUUCGGGAAACCGGAGCUAAUACCGGAUAAUAUUUUGAACCGCAUGGUUCAAAAGUGAAAGACGGUCUUGCUGUCACUUAUAGAUGGAUCCGCGCUGCAUUAGCUAGUUGGUAAGGUAACGGCUUACCAAGGCAACGAUGCAUAGCCGACCUGAGAGGGGAUUAGGCCACCCGGAAACGGGGCACGGGCCCGAACCCCUACGGGGGGCGGAGGGGGGGAUUUUUCCGAAAGGGGGGAAAGCCUAACGGGGCAACGCCGGGGGGGUGAGAAGGGUUUUCGGUUCGAAAAACCUUUUUUUUGGGAAAAAAAAAAUUUGGAAAUAACUGUGCCCUUUUGACGGGACCCAAAGCAGAAGGCCCCGCCUACCUAGGG